GUCAUAUCAGUCGGGAUUCGAGCCCCGGUGACCAAUCGACCCGGUUUGUUCGGAACUGACAGGGUUGUCAAGACGCUGGGCUUUCCCUGGCAAACCAAGACGACCUGAUCACGUAGUUAGAACCCAGAGAAAGCAUUACUGGGCGUGAGCCGGUCGGGGCUCCGGUAUUUGCCCUUCGCCCAGGUUGCUGUAGAAAUGGACCUCUACCCGCCCAGAUGUUACCAUUCAUCGCGAAGGGUGUCGUGAAGAUGAAUGCCCUGUCGAACAUCAUCCAGCAGGAGGUCAAGGAAUUUUAACUGAAUGAUUGAAUAGUCUUGCAAGAUCUAUGAAACAAGCUUCGGCUGCUGUAGAGAAACAAAAAUGGGUUCCUGCAAUUCUAAAUAAGAUGUACUGGGUGCUCUGAGAGUUAAUAAGCUAAAAAAUUCAAUGUUUGUUACAAUUAUAGUGUAAACAGAAAGCAUUUCUGAUACAAUAUUAUUUUACUAGAUUCAGAAAAGUAUGAGCCAUGGUCCCUACCACUAAAAAAACUACAACCCAGAACUACAGGACUAAUACACAUGAAACACUAGGAGGUAUCCAAAAUCAUACUUAGUAAAAUGCAAAAUUAUAUUAACACAAGAGCUCCGAGAAAAUGGAGAUCAGUGAAGAAUGAAGGGGUGCAUGGAAAAGCUGGAUUUGAG
rnacentral:lncRNA from 1 species